GAUGAACGCUGGCGGCGCGCCUAACACAUGCAAGUCGAACGAUUAAAGCACCUUCGGGUGUGUAUAAAGUGGCGAACGGCUGAGUAACACGUGGGCAACCUGCCCCUUUCAUUGGGAUAGCCACGGGAAACCGUGGAUAAUACCGAAUACUUUGAGACUUCCGCAUGGAAGACUCGAGAAAGCUCCGGCGGAGGGGGAUGGGCCCGCGGCCUGUUAGCUUGUUGGUGGGGUAACGGCCUACCAAGGCAAUGCUGGGUAGCUGGGUUGAGAGACCGACCAGCCAGAUUGGGACUGAGACACGGCCCAGACUCCUACGGGAGGCAGCAGGGGGGAAUCUUGCACAAUGGGCGAAAGCCUGAUGCAGCGACGCCGCGUGCGGGAUGAAGGCCUUCGGGUUGUAAACCGCUUUCAGCAGGGACGAGGCGAAAGUGACGGUACCUGCAGAAGAAGCCCCGGCUAACUACGUG
rnacentral:rRNA from 1 species